rnacentral:tRNA from 1 species
GGGCCGUUAGCUUAGUUGGUAGAGCGCCUCGAUGGCAUCGAGGAGGUCGCCGGUUCAAGUCCGGCACGGUCCACCC